AUUGAACGCUGGCGGCAGGCCUAACACAUGCAAGUCGAGCGGAUGAAGGGAGCUUGCUCCUGGAUUCAGCGGCGGACGGGUGAGUAAUGCCUAGGAAUCUGCCUGGUAGUGGGGGAUAACGUCCGGAAACGGGCGCUAAUACCGCAUACGUCCUGAGGGAGAAAGUGGGGGAUCUUCGGACCUCACGCGAUCAGAUGAGCCUAGGUCGGAUUAGCUAGUUGGUGGGGUAAAGGCCUACCAAGGCGACGAUCCGUAACUGGUCUGAGAGGAUGAUCAGUCACACUGGAACUGAGACACGGUCCAGACUCCUACGGGAGGGAGCAGUGGGGAAUAUUGGACAAUGGGCGAAAGCCUGAUCCAGCCAUGCCGCGUGUGUGAAGAAGGUCUUCGGAUUGUAAAGCACUUUAAGUUGGGAGGAAGGGCAGUAAGUUAAUACCUUGCUGUUUUGACGUUACCAACAGAAUAAGCACCGGCUAACUUCGUG
rnacentral:rRNA from 1 species